rnacentral:misc_RNA from 1 species
GAAAUGCGAUAAGUAAUGUGAAUUGCAGAAUUCCGUGAAUCAUCGAAUCUUUGAACGCACAUUGCGCCCUCUGGCAUUCCGGGGGGCAUGCCUGUCCGAGCGUCAUUACGCACCCUCAAGCCCCCGGGUUUGGUGUUGGGGAUCGGGCUGCGGUUCUACCGCGUCCCGGCCCCGAAAUCUAGUGGCGGUCUCGCUGCAGCCUCCAUUGCGUAGUAGCUAACACCUCGCAACUGGAACGCGGCGCGGCCAAGCCGUUAAACCCCCAACUUCUGAAUGUUGACCUCGGAUCAGGUAGGAAUACCCGCUGAACUUAAGC